GCGGGUAUAUAGAUUUAUAAAAAAAAGUGCACACAUGGUCAGUUUUGGUCAACACGGUCAAAUAAUUUUGUUGCACAAGUCAGCAAGAGGUAUCAAAACUACUGAAAUUUUGUUUUGUAUCAAUAUUUUGAAUAAAAGGAGGACAUAUGCUGGCACCCUAAAUUGAUGCAAACAAAAAAUUGUUGUUAUUGUAUAGCAAUAUUGCUGUCCAUUGUAAUA
rnacentral:lncRNA from 1 species